AAUCUUUAGUUGUUUGCACAGUCAAGUCACAGACAGACAUGACAGUACACGUCAAAAAGUUUAACAACGGAGAUCGGAUAGCAAGUUAACUGUUUUUAAAUAAUUUCAGCUGAAGUUUUCAUGUACCUUGUCAACUAGGUGCUUGUGACUGAAAUGAAAUGAUCUAAUCCAAAAAUGCAAGCUCACAACCUACGUCUUCUGAAGAAAAAUCAUUUCUGUUGCAGAUUUUGCCGAAUGAGAACCAUUUUGUUGCCCAUCCACUGGAUCCAUCCAGGGAUAAGGAAAAGGCCAACACCACCAACACUGUCAACAAGGUUCUUUGUUUGUUUACCCCUUGGCUGGUGAAAGAUUGUUGUGCAUCAAGUUAACCUGUGGCUGUUCCUUGUUGCUGGUUUAGCGUUUAUGUUCGCGUAGUUGCUGUCCGAUGUGGCACGUUGUUGCAGCCUAUGCUGGUGUCUGGUGAAAGAUCUUUCUGCAUCAAGUUCAACUGGUUGUUCCUUGGCGGUGUUGUUGUGUUACCAAAAUUGUGUCAUCAAUCAUCAUAUUGUUCAAUUAUUGUCAUUGUGUCUGCAGUUAUCGUUCAGGAGUUAAGAAGGAACAAAAACAAAUAUGGGAUGUUUAUGUCAAACAAAUAAUAAACAUGUUUUCGGGAUUGGGAAAGGAAAGUGGAGGAUGUUGGUGGGAGGGGGUAAUUCAAGUUUGGAUAAACAAUCAGUUUAUCUAUAACCCUAAAUACAAACAUAUCCCUACCAUUUAAUCUAAAAACCCCACAAACUUAUACCUUCCAAUUCUUCACACCCCACAAACAAACACACACCUACCAACCCUAAAUUUAUACCAUAACCAAAUAAACCAAUGUUAAACCCUAACAAUGUGAUGUCUGUAAUAAAUAAAAAUUUUAAUACAUAAA